rnacentral:sRNA from 1 species
ACUUUCAACAUUUCUGCAAAGCUAGAGAAGGUAUCUUCUAAUUUAAAUUUCUUUAAGAAUUAUCUAUUGUGUAAUAUACUGUCAACAGGAGGUCAGUUUUAAAGGAAUACUACUGAUAGCCUGAAAGACUGUGGAAAAGAAAUUAUUUUUCCCCCUUACACACUGAUAGUUCUUGUAUUUGCAUUCCUGAAAUUCAUAUAUAUUUUUCAAAAAAAAAAAAAAACAUUGGAUUAGCAGCAAGAGAGUUGAAAAUGGCAGAAGUUGGGAAUGACUGCUAUUUCUUUUUUAAUUCCACAUGCAUAAAGGGUUCCCAGUGCCGAUUCCGACACUGUGAAGAGGCCCUUGGCAGUGACACUGUGUGCUCAUUAUGGAGAGAGAGGAAAUGUUUAGAUCCACUUUGCAGAUUUAGACACAUGGAAAUGCAGCAAAACUGCAGCAUUUCAUGCUUCUGGGAAACUCAGCCUCUUGGUUGUGUGAAGAUCAGCUGUAUCUUUUAUCACAGCAAACCUCGAAAUAUCAAUGGAUUAUUUUUGCCACCAAGCAGCAAUAUCACACUACAGAAAGAAAUUCAGGAAGGAAUUCCACUCCAGACCCAGAGUCAGGAACCUCUGAAACUUCAGGAAAAUAUAUCACGACCCAUCCACCAUCCUUUAGUUUUAAAAACUAAUUUUGAGGAAGAAGAGGAAGUAGAUGAACAAAAUGAUGCUUCUAGUUUAUGGACAAAGACUCCUGAAGAAAUUGAAGAAAAAAGAGCAAUAAAGGAGAUGUGUUAUAAAUCUGGGGAAUACUACAGAUUUCAUACUCCUCCAGAUAUUUUAUCGUCAAAAAGCAUGACCCCUACAGCAGAAAAAGAGUUAGAAAAGCCUUUGGAAAAUGGCAGUGAAUUGCAAGAAGGAGAUAGUCUUACAGUUCCGACAAAACUUAGCCAAUAUGAAAGGCAAGGUGAAAUAAAAACAUCAUUGCAUGGGAAACCAAAGACUGACAUUGCUGCUUUUGAAAAUGGAGGAGGUGACUGUUAUGUUCCACAGAGGGUCAUAUUUCUUGGAGUCGAUGAAAGUGAAGCUUUAACUGAAGAGAAAGAAAUCACCGUAUCAAAAUGUUCAAAUACUAAAGUGAAUGAUGUCCAGCCAGUGAAGAAGCCUCAUUUUAAAGGUGUGAAAAAAAGGAAAUGGAUUUAUGAUGAACCAAAGAACUUUCCUAACUCUGGAAUGCGGAGAGCAGUACAGGCCCCAAGACCCCAAAAUAAAAUGAGUUAUCACCGCAGUAAUAAAAAUCGAAAUGCUGAGAAUGCAUCCUAUAUCCACGUUCAAAGAGAUGCUGUCAGGACUGUCGCGUUGAAUGCACCUUCCCGCAGCAGGCCCAUGCAUGGGUCCUACAAUAAAGUCCAUGUUAACAAGGAACCCAAACCCAGCCUCAGUCCAGGUGAGGUCCUUUGUUGAUGUGGUUUACUCUUGUCUGUGGUUCGCAUUCCCAUGGAAUUUCCUGACAGCUUGGCUAAUCUUCACUACUACCUACUCCCCUCUUCUUUUCCCUGGCCAUCACCACCGUAGAAACUAGUGAGAGGAUUUCUUCCAUGUGCAGUCCUGCACAUGAUUUAAAGGAUAUGGAAGAAAACUCAUGUUGUGUGCAGAUGACUUCAGAUCGCACCUCCCUAGAGUUUUUUUCUCAGAGCACUGCACUUCGUUCCUCCAGGACAGCUUCAUGUCACUCUGGAGGAUUGUUUUUGAAUGGCUGAUAUUUUCUUGUUCCACUAACUGCAUUGUUCAAUUUUCACUGUCAGGCUAGUGCCUUGACUUUUCUGUAGGCCUUCAUGAUUAUUUUCUGAAAGGGUUGGUUUGGGGAUUAACUGCCAUAUUUUUGACAACCUCUCAUCUCUCUCACCAUGGAUAGAUUGCUUCUAAAUCAUUUCAUCAUGUAAUAGGCAAAGUCAUAGUAUAUGUCAGGAAGUACAAGGUUACAGGGGAGAAGAGAACCAAAUCUCUUUAUCUCUUUUUCUUCCUAUGUCUCAGAUGGAUUUUGUUCUUUUGAAGUUGGGUUUCAGUUCUCUAAACUUAAUAAAAUGCUGCUCAAUUCUAUAUGAUUUCAUGUUUGUAUUCUAAGUUCAUGGUUUAGUUAGUGGAGUUCUGAAUAUUUUGAACUUAUGGAAACAUAAGACUAUAUCUUUCUUAGUUUCUUUCAUAAUUUAAUAAAUUUUUUAAAAAGUUUAUGGGGACACAGUAGGUAUAUAUAUUUCUUUUACAAUUUAAAUAUACAUUAGCUUAUUUCAAUUAUUUUUCCUUUUGCUUUAAAAUAGAAUGAUACAUGGAUGUGUAUUUGUAAAUAAGGAUAUUAGGUGAAACUUGCUUUUAAUUUUAUUUAUUACUAUUAUCUUAUUUAUUGAUAUUGUUAUUGUUAUUAUUGUUUUACUGCAACUGGAUGGCUGUGAAGAAUACAAUGAAUACUAGAAGCAUUGCCAAUGUCUAGGUUUGUGUGAAGGUGCCAGAACUCAUACUCUAUAUUGCUUUUGCACCAUUAGUGCAAAUGUCAACACAAGAGAAAUGCAAAUUAUUGGUAUUACGGAUCAUGCUUUGAGAACACAGCUGCAUAGUAAUACUUGACAACACAAAUAUAACAUUGUUAGAUAGUAGUAGAAAUGUAGAUAUGUCAGAGAAAAAUAAGUAUUUAAGGACCAGGUGAGGAUAUAAAUGCUUUGACUAUCUGGGGCAGUGAGUUUGCUAUUGCAUCAUGCCAAUUACUGCGACCAUGGAAGUCACUUCAUGGAAGGACAUGGGACUUGGGCUGUACCUCAUAGUUUCACAGUUUUUAAAUAAAAGCUCUAAUAAACAUUAGCAGAACUUAUGCAAAACUAUGAUGAAGUGAUGCAGUGAAAAUUUUUAUUACAUUUAGAUAUCAUACUCUCCUGUAGCUUACCCUUAUUUUAAGCAUUGAAUAGCCAAUUAAGAAUCUGUAACC